CCUACGGGAGGCAGCAGUGCGGAAUAUUGGUCAAUGGACGAGAGUCUGAACCAGCCAAGUAGCGUGAAGGAUGACUGCCCUAUGGGUUGUAAACUUCUUUUAUAUGGGAAUAAAAUGUUCCACGUGUGGGAUUUUGUAUGUACCAUAUGAAUAAGGAUCGGCUAACUCCGUGCCAGCAGCCGCGGUAAUACGGAGGAUCCGAGCGUUAUCCGGAUUUAUUGGGUUUAAAGGGAGCGUAGGUGGAUUGUUAAGUCAGUUGUGAAAGUUUGCGGCUCAACCGUAAAAUUGCAGUUGAAACUGGCAGUCUUGAGUACAGUAGAGGUGGGCGGAAUGCGUGGUGUAGCGGUGAAAUGCUUAGAUAUCACGAAGAACUCCGAUUGCGAAGGCAGUUCACUGGACUGCAACUGACACUGAGGCUCGAAAGUGUGGGUAUCAAACAGGAUUAGAUACCCUAGUAGUC
rnacentral:rRNA from 1 species